UACGGAGGGUGCAAGCGUUAUCCGGAUUUACUGGGUUUAAAGGGUGCGUAGGUGGGUCUGUAAGUCAGUGGUGAAAUCUCCGAGCUUAACUCGGAAACUGCCAUUGAUACUAUAGAUCUUGAAUUAUCUGGAGGUAAGCGGAAUAUGUCAUGUAGCGGUGAAAUGCGCAGAUAUCGGGAGGAACACCAAUGGCGAAGGCAGCUCGCUGGGACGGUACUGACGCUGAGGCGCGAAAGCGUGGGGAGCAAACAGG
rnacentral:rRNA from 1 species